rnacentral:tRNA from 1 species
CAGAUUAAACUUAGUAGUUAAGAAUUUCAUUUACACUGAAGUAUAAAUUGUGCAAAUCAAUAUAAUCUGA